AUGCACGUUAGUGGAAAAUACGGGAUCCCGUCCGCUCUCCCAUAGUCAAGCCACUAACCGGCGGAUUAGUAGUUGGGUCGGUGACGACCAGCGAAUCCCCGCUGUUGCAUGUU
rnacentral:rRNA from 1 species